rnacentral:rRNA from 1 species
GAGUUUGAUCCUGGCUCAGGACGAACGCUGGCGGCGUGCUUAACACAUGCAAGUCAAGGGGGCCCAGCAAUGGGCAACCGGCGAACGGGUGCGUAACACGUGAGCAACCUACCGAGAUAUGGGGGAUAGCCGGCCUAACGGCCGAGUAAUACCGCAUACGCUCUCGAUGAGGCAUUUCAUUGAGAGGAAACCUACGGGGUAUUUCGAGGGGCUCGCGGCCUAUCGGCUAGUUGGCGAGGUAACGGCUCACCAAGGCAACGACGGGUAGCUGGUCUGAGAGGAUGGCCAGCCACAUUGGGACUGAGAUACGGCCCAGACUCCUACGGGAGGCAGCAGUGGGGAAUCUUGCGCAAUGGCCUAACGGCUGACGCAGCGACGCCGCGUGUGGGAUGAAGCUCUUCGGAGUGUAAACCACUGUUGCCCGGGACGAAUAGCUCGAUUAAUCGAGCCUGACAGUACCGGGUGAGGAAGCACCGGCUAACUCCGUGCCAGCCGCCGCCGU